rnacentral:lncRNA from 1 species
GGAACAUCCAAAUUGCCAUGGUUUCCACAGAAAAUGUGCUCAGACUCCCUGAAAGACUGAUUCUUUGUGUGCUCAAGAAAAUGCUGGCAACAAAAAAAAUCUUGCUUUGAGACAAAACCAUCAGAGGCUGUAUGUAUGCUUAUA